ensembl:lncRNA
UGCUGAACCAUUCAGAGUGCAUGAACUGCCCAAAGCGCAACAGCACGCAUUUCCGGGUUGUCAGUGACAUGGUAUACUUUUGACACAUGUGUUUUGCUUUGGUUUCUGUUCUGUCACUGCCCUUGUUAUGUUAUUGGUUGUCUCCCUCAUGUGUCAUCAUUAUUCACAGCUGUUUAUGUUUUACCUUUGAUUAUGUUAAUUAUUUAAACCCCUCAUAUGUCUUUGUUGGGCAAAGUGUUGCAUAUUUCUUUGUUUUGCUGCCAGACCCGGACUAACCCUGUUGAUCCUCGAUUCUUGAUUUUUGAUCCUGUUUUCAUCCUCCUAUUUAUUGAUUCUGCUUUCGCCUAGUCCAGUGGUUCCCGUACUUUUUACAGUGGCAUACCCUCCCAGGCAUUUAAUAUCCUUUUGCAUACCCCCUCUCUCAAACUGUGUUGUCUGACGAUGGUAUCCUCUGUAUUGUUUUUUAUUUUUGGCCUUUUCCCCAACCAUUACACCAGCUAUAUCAGUCGCAGCAGAAAUAAUUAAGUCCUCCACAAUAGUAUGGGGUUUGCCUGUCUUAGCCACUCUGUAACUCACCAUGUAGGAUGCUUCCAGACCCUUCCUAUGUAGGUUUUCCUACAAUGUUAUAAGGGCCUUACUACUCCUGAGUUGUCUUAAAUGUCUUUAAAAAAAAACUCUCGAGGUUUAUUUAGCAAAAAGUAAGUAGCAUUCUUUGUUUCUAAAUGUCUGUGCAGAAAUGCUGGUUUCAUGCAGUUAUGAGAGAGUACUUUUGCACAUAUAACACACUGUGGCUGGGGGUUUUCUUUACUACCAGCGUAUGUAAAGCCCAAAGAAAUAUAUUUCUCAUCAUAUUUGCGCCCCUUUGAUGGUUUUUCUGCGAAUUGCUGGUGAAGAAGAGGUGGCGUUUCGACUUCGGAUACAUCGCUGUCUAUAUCAGCGUGAACUGGCCUAAUUGCAGUGAGUACACUUACGCUCGCUAUGGACGCGCUAUUAGAGGGACCUGGGCCACUGCUGUCAGAGGACUGUGGAUCAGCGGCGCUGGAAGUAGAAGCCGGCGGCCAGCGCACAAAAGAAGAAAAGCGCUCCUCCCGCAACUGAAAGGGAAACUGAUGCUGAAAGGACAGCUCUGCUUCAGCACCACUAAUGUUUUGGACAGCCGAAGAUACAACAGAAAAGGAUUUUGAUCCC